UGUUUCAUUUUCAUUUGAAUAACUGUGUUUUAUACUUUUACACCUUGCAUGCCUGACAAAAUUAUGCCACAUUUCAUAAGUUACCAAUAAAUUGAGUGCAACAAGCAUAAUAUAUCAACUAAAAAAUAACAGAUCAGUAUAAAAGAGGCUGCCCUGAAUCCCACAUAUAAUUAUACACUACAAGACGGAUCAGUAUAAUCAAGACUCUGGUGUGGACCUACUCGAUACUUUUUGUAGGCUGAGCAAGCUUUCGGAUCAGAAGUUGCUGCAUAUCUGGUAGUUUCUUCUGAGCAUGGAACUCAGCAAAACUUCUUUUCAGCAUGUCCUCCACCUGCGUGAGGGUCACCUGUCCUUUGUCUAGUAGCUUAUACCAUUUAUGA
rnacentral:lncRNA from 1 species